rnacentral:rRNA from 1 species
UUCGGCUUUUUGAGCGAAGUGGAACUACCUCUUCCCAUUCCGAACAGAGUCGUAAAACGCUUUAGCGCCGACGAUAUUUUUUGGGCAACCUUACGAGAAAAUAGGUCAAGGCCGAAA